ensembl:lncRNA
GGCGAUAAUCGUUCGGGAUAAGGCUCCGGAAAGAAAUUAGAAUGCAUUGAACUUCUUAAGUUGUAAACAAAGUCAGUCACAUAAGCACUCCCGCAUGUUCUGGAUACGUGAUCAUGGACGUCUUCACCGAGUCGCGGACGUAGGUUACACGUAACCGGAAAUGGGAGUUGUACUGAGCCGUUAUUUGAGACUUUAUUUUGUAUUUUAUUAAUUUUUGGUUUUACAGGUACUUUAGAUUUUUUAUCGGACCUGUCUGUGGUCUUUGAAUAAUUCUGACUCAUGUUCAGUGAUUUCCAGAGGGGUUUACACGCUAGGAGGAUUUAGGUUAGUAUUUUCGCUGCGGCACAGCUGAGGUCACUUUAAAUUUAUUGCUAGCAAUUUUUUGUUUGUGUGAGCAACUCUCACUUAGCGAGCAACUUCUCGCUUAACGAGCAACUUCUCGUAAAACAACAGGCAACUUCCUGUGUCUUUCUGCUUUUAAUUUACUGCUUUUAACCCUUGUAUGGUAAUCGGGUCUGUGAGACCCGUUUUCAGUUUUCUUUCGUUUUUUUUUUUGUUUUUUUUUUUUAACAAAAUUAAAUUUAAUUAUUUACUAGCUUUCUGUGAGUGAGCAACUUCUCACUUUUUAACGUACGUUUCAAGAUAACAGGCAACUUCCUGUGUCCACCAACACCACACAAGGGUUAAUUUACUUUAUUCGGGGACUGAGGAAGUCGUCAGUGUAUCUCUCUGGAUCACUAAGUGAAACUUCGUCAGCAUAUCCCGUUUCUUUAUGGAUCGAUCACUGAGAGAGGUAUAAUAGGUCUUUAUAUAAAUAUGAAAGACGCAUAUUUACCUUCUGUCAGUUAUCCCACUUCUGACACCAAAUUGAAGGAAAUUGCCGUCCCGGGUUUCCUCCGUGGCGUGAGCGAUAAGCAGAGUUCUGUCCUUUCCUUCUAAGAUUCCUAAUUAUUUAAAGUAACACUCAGGUAUGCCGUUCAGCUGGGUUAGUUACAGCGCCGGGAGCAGCUUGGGAGAACAAGGAAACACAGACUGCUUCAGGUUGCCUUCCC